GUAUAGAGGACAGUAUAGUAGAGGUAUAGAGGACAGUAUAGUGGAGGUAUAGAGGACAAUAUAGUGGAGGUAUAGAGGGCAGUAUAGUAGAGGUAUAGAGGACAGUAUAGUAGAGGUAUAGAGGACAGUAUAGUGGAGGUAUAGAGGACAGUAUAGUAGAGGUAUAGAGGACAGUAUAGUGGAGGUAUAGAGGACAGUAUAGUGGAGGUAUAGAGGACAGUAUAGUGGAGGUAUAGAGGACAGUAUAGUGGAGGUAUAGAGGACAGUAUAGUGGAGGUAUAGAGGACAGUAUCGUGGAGGUAUAGAGGACAGUAUAGUAGAGGUAUAGAGGACAGUAUAGUGGAGGUAUAGAGGACAGUAUCGUGAAGGUAUAGAGGACAGUAUAGUGGAGGUAUAGAGGACAGUAUAGUGGAGGUAUAGAGGACAGUAUAGUGGAGGUAUAGAGGACAGUAUAGUGGAGGUAUAGUCUACCUGUGUAUAUACAGUAUAGUGGAGGUAUAGUCUACCUGUGUAUAUACAGGUUGUAGACAUGACUUUUCUUACCAGCCAUGCUGAGGUAGACAGAGGGAGAGGUGUGGUUCUGUCCGGUCAGCCCGUUGAACGCCUGUACGUAGUACCGCCCCGCAUCAGCAGCCCUGGCCGACAAGACAACCAGCUGAUUGUCCAACGAC